UAAUACGAAGGGGGCUAGCGUUGUUCGGAAUUACUGGGCGUAAAGCGCGUGUAGGCGGGUCUUUAAGUCAGGGGUGAAAUGCCAAGGCUCAACCUUGGAACUGCCUUUGAUACUGGAGAUCUUGAGUCCGGGAGAGGUGAGUGGAAUUGCGAGUGUAGAGGUGAAAUUCGUAGAUAUUCGCAAGAACACCAGUGGCGAAGGCGGCUCACUGGCCCGGAACUGACGCUGAGACGCGAAAGCGUGGGGAGCAAACAGGAUUAGAUACCCUGGUAGUCCACGCUGUAAACGAUGGAUGCUAGCCGUUGGGGAGCUUGCUCUUCAGUGGCGCAGCUAACGCUUUAAGCAUCCCGCCUGGGGAGUACGGUCGCAAGAUUA
rnacentral:rRNA from 1 species